rnacentral:sRNA from 16 species
GGGUUACCCCUUGGCGCCUGCGCGCUGUUUUGAUGAAGAUUCGCACCUCUAUCAAAACGGGUAACUCCACCUCUUGGCAAGGCCUUGCUGUCAGAUCAAGUCUGAACUUCUACACUUCAAUACCUACAUGCAGUGGCCAGCGAGGCCGGUUGACAAAAAGAGGGCGUUUUCAGUUCUGUCGCUAAAUGGCCGAUAGAGCGUCGAAUGUGUCU